UACGUAGGGGCCUAGCGUUGUCCGGAAUCAUUGGGCGUAAAGAGCGCGUAGGCGGCCCGGUAAGUCCGCUGUAAAAGUCAAAGGCUUAACCUUUGAAAGUCAGUGGAUACUGCCGGGCUAGAGUCCGGAAGAGGCGAGUGGAACUCCUGGUGUAGCGGUGGAAUGCGCAGAUAUCAGGAAGAACACCAACGGCGAAGGCAGCUCGCUAGGACGGAACUGACGCUGAGGCGCGAAAGCGUGGGGAGCGAACAGG
rnacentral:rRNA from 1 species